UAGAGGUGUAGCCGCAGGGAAACCGAGUUCUAACCGAGCGUAGAGUGGCAUGCUGCAGACCCGAAGCGUUGUGAUCUACACGUGGCCAGGAUGAAGCGCGGGUAAUACCGCGUGGAGGUCCGAAUCCACCAAAGUUGAAAAUUUGGGGAAUGAGCUGCGUGUAGGGGUGAAAGGCUAAUCAAACUGCGUGAUAGCUGGUUCUCCCCGAAAAAUAUUUAGGUAUUGCCUCGGGACAUUCACUGUUGGAGGUAGAGCACUGAAAGGGCUAGGGGGCCUACCAGCCUACCAAACCUUAUCAAACUCCGAAUGCCAGCAAGUGUUAUCCCGGGAGGCAGUCUACGAGUGAUAAGAUUCGUGGACGAGAGGGAAAGAGCCCAGAUCGCCAGCUAAGGUCCCCAAAUCUAUGCUAAGUGGAGAACGAUGUGGGAGCGCUUAGACAACCAGGAGGUUGGCUUAGAAGCAGCCAUCCUUGAAAGAAAGCGUAACAGCUCACUGGUCUAGCGAACCUGCGCGGAAAAUAUAACGGGGC
rnacentral:rRNA from 1 species